UACGUAGGGGGCUAGCGUUGUCCGGAUUUAUUGGGUUUAAAGGGUGCGUAGGCGGUCUAUUAAGUCAGUGGUGAAAUACUCCAGCUUAACUGGAGGGGUGCCAUUGAUACUGAUGGACUUGAGUGAAGUCGAGGUAGGCGGAAUUGACGGUGUAGCGGUGAAAUGCUUAGAUAUCGUCAAGAACACCAAUAGUGAAGACAGCUUACUAGGCUUAUACUGACGCUGAGGCACGAAAGUGUGGGGAUCAAACAGG
rnacentral:rRNA from 1 species